rnacentral:rRNA from 1 species
GUGUCAGCCGCCGCGGUAAUACGUAGGGGGCGAGCGUUGUCCGGAAUUAUUGGGCGUAAAGAGCUCGUAGGCGGUUCGGCAAGUCACGUGUGAAAUCUCCACGCUCAACGUGGAGGCGCCACGUGAGACUGCCGUGACUCGAGUCCGGUAGGGGAGCGUGGAAUUCCCGGUGUAGCGGUGAAAUGCGCAGAGAUCGGGAGGAACACCCGUAGCGAAGGCGGCGCUCUGGGCCGGUACUGACGCUGAGGAGCGAAAGCGUGGGGAGCAAACAGGAUUAGAAACCCCCGUAGUCC